rnacentral:rRNA from 1 species
AGACCAAAGAGGGGGACCUUCGGGCCUCUUGCCAUCAGAUGUGCCCAGAUGGGAUUAGCUAGUUGGUGAGGUAACGGCUCACCAAGGCGACGAUCCCUAGCUGGUCUGAGAGGAUGACCAGCCACACUGGAACUGAGACACGGUCCAGACUCCUACGGGAGGCAGCAGUGGGGAAUAUUGCACAAUGGGCGCAAGCCUGAUGCAGCCAUGCCGCGUGUAUGAAGAAGGCCUUCGGGUUGUAAAGUACUUUCAGCGGGGAGGAAGGUGUUGUGGUUAAUAACCACAGCAAUUGACGUUACCCGCAGAAGAAGCACCGGCUAACUCCGUGCCAGCAGCCGCGGUAAUACGGAGGGUGCAAGCGUUAAUCGGAAUUACUGGGCGUAAAGCGCACGCAGGCGGUCUGUCAAGUCGGAUGUGAAAUCCCCGGGCUCAACCUGGGAACUGCAUUCGAAACUGGCAGGCUUGAGUCUUGUAGAGGGGGGUAGAAUUCCAGGUGUAGCGGCGAAAUGCGUAGAGAUCUGGAGGAAUACCGGUGGCGAAGGCGGCCCCCUGGACAAAGACUGACGCUCAGGUGCGAAAGCGUGGGGAGCAAACAGGAUUAGAUACCCUGGUAGUCCACGCCGUAAACGAUGUCUACUUGGAGGUUGUGCCCUUGAGGCGUGGCUUCCGGAGCUAACGCGUUAAGUAGACCGCCUGGGGAGUACGGCCGCAAGGUUAAAACUCAAAUGAAUUGACGGGGGCCCGCACAAGCGGUGGAGCAUGUGGUUUAAUUCGAUGCAACGCGAAGAACCUUACCUGGUCUUGACAUCCACGGAAGUUUUCAGAGAUGAGAAUGUGCCUUCGGGAACCGUGAGACAGGUGCUGCAUGGCUGUCGUCAGCUCGUGUUGUGAAAUGUUGGGUU